rnacentral:misc_RNA from 1 species
GGUUUGAUUAUGGCUCAGAUUGAACGCUAGCAGGAUGCCUUACACAUGCAAGUCCGAACGGCAGCACGGACUUCGGUCUGGUGGCGAGUGGCGAACGGGUGAGUAAUGUAUCGGAACGUGCCCAGUAGCGAGGGGAUAACUGCGCAGCGUAGCUAAUACCGCAUACGCCCUACGAGAAAACAGGGGAUCGCAAGACCUUGCACUAUUGGAGCAGCCGAUAUCGGAUUAGCUAGUUGGUGGGGUAACGGCUCACCAAGGCGACGAUCCGUAGCUGGUUUGAGAGGACGACCAGCCACACUGCUGGGACUGAGACGGCCCAGACUCCUACGGGAGGCAGCAGUGGGAAUUUUGGACAAUGAAACCCUGAUCCAGCCAUCCCGCGUGUGCGAUGAAGACCUUCGGGUUGUAAAGCACUUUUAGCAGGAGGUUCGAUUCUGGCUCAGAUUGAACGCUGGCGGGAUGCUUUGCACACAUGCAAAUCGAACGGCAGCACGGACUUCGGUCUGGUGGCGAGUAGCGAACGGGUGAGUAAUGUAUCGGAACGUGCCUAGUAGCGGGGGAUAACUACGCGAAGGCGUAGCUAAUACCGCAUACGCCCUUCGGGGGAAAGCGGGGGACCUUCGAGCCUCGCACUAUUAGAGCGGCCGAUAUCGGAUUAGCUAGUUGGUGGGGUAACGGCUCACCAAGGCGACGAUCCGUAGCUGGUUUUGAGAGGACGACCAGCCACUGGGACUGAGACACGGCCCAGACUCCUACGGGAGGCAGCAGUGGGGAAUUUUUGGACAAUGGGGAAACCCUGAUCCAGCCAUCCCGCGUGUGCGAUGAAGGCCUUCGGGUUGUAAAGCACUUUUGGCAGGAAAGAAACGGCACGGGAUAAUACCCCGUGCAACUGACGAAAACCUGCAGAAUAAGCACCGGCUAACUACGUACUUGCAACAGCCGCGGUAAUACGUAGGGUGCAAGCGUUAAUCAGGAUACUGGGCGUAAAGCGUGCGCAGGCGGUUCGGAAAAGAAAGAUGUGAAAUCCCAGAGCUUAACUUUGGAACUGCAUUUUAACUACCGAGCUGGGGAAAUUAUGUCCAGAGGGAGGUGGAAUUCCGCGUGUAGCAGUGAAAUGCGUAGAUAUGCGGAGGAACACCGAUGGCGAAAGCAGCCUCCUGGGAUAACACUGACGCUCAUGCACGAAAGCGUGGGGAGCAAACGGGAUUAGAUACUGUUGUAGUCCACGCCCUAAACGAUGUCAACUAGCUGUUGGGGCCUUCGGGCCUUGGUAGCGCAGCUAACGCGUGAAGUUGACCGCACAAGUACGGUCGCAAGAUUAAAGCUCAAAGGAAUUGACGGGGACCCGCACAAGCGGUGGAUGAUGUGGAUUAAUUCGAUGCAACGCGAAAAACCUUACCUACCCUUGACAUGUCUGGAAUGCCGAAGAGAUUUGGCAGUGCUCGCAAGAGAACCGGAACACAGGUGCUGCAUGGCUGUCGUCAGCUCGUGUCGUGAAGAUGUUGGGUUAAGUCCCCGCAACGAGCGCAACCCUUGUCAUUAGUUGCUACGAAAGGGCACUCUAAUGAGACUGCCGGUGACAAACCGGAGGAAGGUGGGGAUGACGUCAAGUCCUCAUGGCCCUUAUGGGUAGGGCUUCACACGUCAUACAAUGGUCGGGACAGAGGGGUCGCCAACCCGCGAGGGCCAAUGCGAAACCCGAUCGUAGUCCGGAUCUGAUCUGCAACUCGACUGCGUGAAGUCGGAAUCGCUAGUAAUCGCGGAUCAGCAUGUCGCGGUGAAUACGUUCCCGGGUCUUGUACACACCGCCCGUCACACCAUGGGAGUGGGCUUUACCAGAAGUAGUUAGCCUAACCGCAAGGGGCGAUUACCACAGUAGGAUUCAUGACUGGGGUGAAGUCGUAACAAGGUAG